rnacentral:rRNA from 1 species
CAUCUAGAUUCGGAUCCGCGGCCGCAGAGUUUGAUCAUGGCUCAGGACGAACGCUGGCGGCGUGCCUAACACAUGCAAGUCGAGCGGAGAAUGCAAGAUGUUUACAUUGAGCAUUCUUAGCGGCGGACGGGUGAGUAACACGUGGGUAACCUGCCUCAGAGUGGGGGACAGCCUUUCGAAAGGAAGAUUAAUACCGCAUAAGCUUGUAGCAUCGCAUGGUGCAGCAAGAAAAGGAGCAAUCCGCUCUGAGAUGGACACGCGGCGCAUUAGCUAGUUGGUGAGGUAACGGCUCACCAAGGCCACGAUGCGUAGCCGACCUGAGAGGGUGAUCGGCCACAUUGGAACUGAGACACGGUCCAGACUCCUACGGGAGGCAGCAGUGGGGAAUAUUGCACAAUGGGCGAAAGCCUGAUGCAGCAACGCCGCGUGAGUGAUGAAGGCUUUCGAGUCGUAAAGCUCUUUGAUCAGGGAUGAUAAUGACAGUACCUGAAAAACAAGCCACGGCUAACUACGUGCCAGCAGCCGCGGUAAUACGUAGGUGGCGAGCGUUGUCCGGAAUUACUGGGCGUAAAGGAUGCGUACGUGGAUAUUUAAGUGGGAUGUGAAAUCCCCGGGCUCAACCCGGGAACUGCAUUCCAAACUGGAUAUCUAGAGUGCAGGAGAGGAAAGCGGAAUUCCUAGUGUAGCGGUGAAAUGCGUAGAUAUUAGAGGAACACCAGUGGCGAAGGCGGCUUUCUGGACUGUAACUGACACUGAGCAUGAAAGCGUGGGUAGCAAACAGAUUAGAUACCCUAUAGUCC